rnacentral:lncRNA from 1 species
CUCACCUCUCUCCCUCACCCCUCCUUCUCCACCACCGGCCGUCGCCGCGGCCAGGCCGGCGUGGCGGUGCGCCUGCUGCUCCUCCACUCAGCCACGAGCACCAUCCGCCGCACCAUCCAUCCAUCCCAGCCGCGCCGUGCCAUCCAUCCACCACUCCACCAGCGUCACUAGCUCCACUUCACCACCGCGCCUCACCAGCGCCCACCUCGCGCGCCCCUCCUGCCGCUUCCUCUCUGAACCCGCUGUUGCUGCUGCAUCUUCCUUCUUCCUCUCGACCUCCUGUUGCUCUUCUCCAAGCACCGCUGCUGCUCCUUCCUUGCAACCCCCCUGCUGUUGUUCAUCCUCUCCACCUCCUUGCGCCUCCCUGCCGGUACCCUUCUCUGCUCAAAACUGCUGCUGCUUGUGCACUCCAGCUUCUCCUUCUUCUCCUGCCUACUGCUGGUUCUUCUUCCCCACAUCACUUUUGCUGCUCCUCUUCUCUGCCUCGCUACUGUUCUUCUUACCUGAACCUCAAAAUUGCUGCUGUUCUCUUCUAAACAACAAAACUGCUGCUACUACUACCUCAACCUCCUAUUGCUUUCUUUCUUUCUCACUCUCUUUUAAAUUUCUGUAAGAUUGAGACGCAUGUGAUUUGUAUUAUUCAGAUUUGAUAAGUGUUAGUAAUCUACUGUUGUUCAGUUCAGACUUCCUGUGUGUGUUAAUUAGUUAAAAUUGUCACUUGUGUACUGCUUGUUGCAGAUUCUUGCUCAUUUUUGUUGUCUAUGUGUUAGCUCAUGCAUCUGAGAAUUAUAAAGACAUAUGUGUGUGUGGUUGAUGUGAAACAAUUAUAUAUAUGUCUCAUGUUUGUUAGUUAGUGGUUUGUAUAAAUUCAGAUUACUACUUGUGAUUUAAUUUUGUAUUGAAAUUGUUCUCUGUGGUAGUCAGUUGUGUGAUCAUUCAAUUUUCAGUCUAUGUAUUAGCUCUGUACCUGUAAUAUAUGUUGUGACAUGAAGCAUUUUCAUCCUUGUCCAUUAUCUUGUUUCUUCACUCUGUCAUACGCUUGUUAGAUAAAUAUAUGUGUUCAUGUCCUGUUGUUCCCUUUUGUGUUAGCAUUUUAGUUUCUCAAGUAACAGGAAAACACCAAAAAAGACAAUAUAGACAAUCUGAACCUCCCCUUUGCUUAUUUUACAUUUUCUUUGGCGACGAUCUUCGGGAACUACCUUGUUAGUUUAGGUUUAUUUUCUUGCAUUUAUAAUCUGAGUUCUGUCACCUAGCUUUAGCCGAGCAUUGUUGCUGUCGCCUAGUCCCUGUGGAGAACACGACACUCACAGUUCGGGUGAAAUAUCCCGCAGUACUUUCAAUCGAUCAUUUUGGCGCCGUUGCCGGGGACUAGCGUCGUGUGACCGUGUUAGGCUAUAGACUAGGUUUUGCUUCUGUUUCUAUCUGGUGCCAUAUAUUUGUGAUAUAUCUCUUACCCCUAACCACUGUUCUAGUUAUCUUCUCUUUCUUUUCUUGUUCAUUUUGUAGGUUGAAUUGUCUUCUCGGAUAUGGCUUACUAUUCAGAUCAUCAUGCUUAUGCGAGCAACACUACAAACAACACGGAAAGUAUUCAAGAACUGAUAAGUAAGAUUUCCCAUCAAUUAGAUGAUUUAGCUCAGCAGCGAGGAGUAGUUUUUGAGGAUAGGCCUAGUUCUUAUUAUCCUUAUUCCGGAAGCAAUCCUUAUGUUGCUCCUACAUGCCAUAUUUGUGGAUUUCAGGGCCAUUCGCCCGCUGAAUGUCAGCGUGGUUACUCUCACACUCCAGAUUGUUUUGGCAUGAGCUUCGCUCAAGAGCAUAGCUCAUACCAAAACAAUUACUCACAUGGGUGUCCUGAAAACCCGAAUAUGUCAUAUAGGAGCAACAACCCCGAGAUCUCACCGCUUGCUUCUAGUAAUCAUAUGCAGGGAUUUAGGUAUGAAGAGGAGAGCCACAGCUAUGCUCCACAACAGUCUUAUUCAGCUCCUAUUCAUAUACCUCAGCACGAGGAGAUGUUGCCAAUGGAGUUAAAUGGUCCUCCAUUUGGUCAACCAACACCUUCAACACAAGUGCCUACUCAAGAUGAGUUUGAUGACAUAGACAAGUUCACACUUUUGAGUCUUGAGUUCAGUUGGAGUGCCGAGGAUGAUCCUAUUAGGAAGGUUAUACUAGAUGAAAUGAAGAAGAUCAAGAGUGGGAAUGAGCUAGUGGAAGAAGUAAAGAAGAUUGAGAAGAACAUCAACGCUGGCAGCUCUAUUUCUUCACAGCUAGAGCUGAGUGUUGCUGAGAUUCCCCUUGAUACAUGUGAGGUUCCAACACCUUCACAUUUCGUUGAGCAAGUUAGCAAGUGCCUUGAGCAAGAGAUACCUCAGAUUGAAGAAGAUGAACUAGAAGACAAGGACCAAGAUGGUCAAGAGCUGCAAUUCCCAAGUGAUCAAGUUGAAGACUCAUCAUCUACUACUGAAGAACUACAAGAAGCUGCUGUAGAUAAAGAUGAAGAUCAUGAGAUUCAUUUGCCUAUUGUCAUACCAGAGCGUGAUGUGUCAGGUUUACUCAAUCCUCUUGAUGACAUGAUGCCUUGUGAUUUCUUUGCUACUACCUUGCUUUACAUGAUACUAUCACUUAAGAUUGAUUUGAAAACUCAUUUGCUUGGAUAUGAUGAUAUAUACCCUGUUAGUGGUAUUACUCUCAUUUGUGAUGAUCAUAGUUACUUUCCUCGUGCUAAUCCUAUGCUUAAUGAAACAUAUCACUCCCAUGCUAGUCUUGCACUUAAUGAUAAAUGUCAUCCUCGUGUGAGUAUUGACCAUGCUGAUUUCUGCCAUCCUAAACAUGUGCUUUAUAGUUAUGCUUAUAUAAUUGGAUAUUCCAUUGAUGACUUGGAGGGCAUCGACCGUAUCACUUGUAGUUGUUUGUGUGAGUCCUAUUUCAGGCUUUUGCUACUGCACUGUUUACUACAUGCUGACCAGGUUUGAGGUGACAUUCCUUGGGAUCCUGGUGGAGUCACAGCAUGGCGAUGAGGGGAGCACAAACAGGGAACACAAACAGAGAAGAGUGGAGAGAAGAAAGUAGGAGAGAAGAGUAUACAAAUACCAGGUGAUUCUGUUCCACUUGAAGCAACCUUUAGAAAAUUUAGUACGAGAACUGGCAUUUUAUUGCAUUGAAACGCUUUUUGCAUUGUGACACCUUACUCUUCACUGCAAAGUAGGAUUCACUCCAAGAAGAUUGUUGAUUCUCUUAAUACUAAAACUAUGCAGCAGUAUUCUUCUUAUGGUAAUUUGUGAUAAUGAAUACUUUAUACCUCCAUGUAAAUGUUCAAUGGGAAUGCCUUGAGUCUAAGUGAAACCUACUAAUGAAUUGAUGUGCUGUGUCUGACUGUCCCACGUUAAGCUAAGUAACUGGUGGCACUUAAGUAGUAGCUAUGAUCUCUGGAUCUGUAGUAUGUGAAAAACAGUGCCAUUAGUUAUGGAUUCCUCUUUCAAUUAUUCCUGUUUUACUUAAGCUAAGUAAUUUUCAAAUAACUAAAUAAAAUAAUUAUAAUAUUUUAAGUCCGAUCGACCUAUAGUAGCAUGUCAUGUUCCCUGGAUCGGUGGCUUGUGAAAUCUGGUAGAUUGGACUCUAAAAAAAAAUUAUAUAAAAAUGCUAUAAUUUGUCGAACCAGGUGUAUACCAUGUUCUCGGGAUCGGUGGUAUGUUCCUUUGGGGAGAUAACAAAAAAAUAUACUAAUAAUUUGGUCGAGCCAGGUGUAUACCAUGUUCUCGGGAUCGGUGGUAUGUUCCUUUGGUGAGACUGAUAUAAUAUCAUCACUUGUGCUUUAAAUUCAAUAAGUAACUUGUUUUUCUAAUUGAUUUUGGGGUCCCAGCUUAUCUCAGGGCUGAAGACAGAGCCAGCUCUUGAUUAUUAGUAUUCACUUUGACUCAAGGCCAUUGACUUGGAACAUUUACAGUGUGUUAUAAAAUAUUUCUUAUCACAAUUUAGCUUCAGUAGAGUACAUUUGCUUAGUUCCAGUAUUGUCGGAAUUACUAUCUAUCGGAAAGUGCAUAUUUACUAGGCAGUGUGAGUUGUGUCACCAUCAAAUUUUUUUUCCUUUGCUCGAGGACAAGCAAAGAUUUAAGUGUGGGGGAACUUGAUAAGCACAUUUCUUAUAUACUAUUUGGGCACACAAAUUCACCUUUUAUUGAGAUAUAUCCAUCCAUUCUUGCUAUGACUUGUUGAAUAUUUGAAUGAUAACCAUAAAAGAGAAUGUUGACUAGUGAAUUGUUUAUUUUGCAGAAAAGUGCGCAAAUGCACUAUAAUCGUCAAGACUUCUACUAUGUGGCUAACGAGAAGAGAGAAGGGCAUGAAAGAAAUACGUCAAGGCUUGAGCGUGAAGGAAAGAAGUAAUGUAGGGGAGCAAACUAAAAGAAGAGGAGGAUCUUCUUGGGAAGAAAGAAGAAAGGAGGAGGGCCAAAGUAAAAAAAGACAAAACAGAGGAGGGGAUCAAAAAUCCCUAGCGCAGCCGAUCCCCAUCAGGCCUCGCAUCUCACCUCUCUCCCUCACCCCUCCUUCUCCACCACCGGCCGUCGCCGCGGCCAGGCCGGCGUGGCGGUGCGCCUGCUGCUCCUCCACUCAGCCACGAGCACCAUCCGCCGCACCAUCCAUCCAUCCCAGCCGCGCCGCGCCAUCCAUCCACCACUCCACCAGCGUCACCAGCUCCACUUCACCACCGCGCCUCCACCAGCGCCCACCUCGCGCGCCCCUCCUGCCGCUUCCUCUCUGAACCUGCUAUUGCUGCUGCAUCUUCCUUCUUCCUCUUGACCUCCUGUUGCUCUUCUCCAAGCACCGCUGCUGCUCCUUCCUUGCAACCCCCCUGUUGUUGUUCAUCCUCUCCACCUCCUUGCGCCUCCCUGCCGGUACCCUUCUCUGCUGAAAACUGCUGCUGCUUGUGCGCUCCAGCUGCUCCUUCUUCUCCUGCCUACUGCUAGUUCUUCUUCCCCACAUCACUUUUGCUGCUCCUCUUCUCUGCCUCGCUACUGUUCUUCUUACCUGAACCUCAAAAUUGUUGCUGUUCUCUUCUAAACAACAAAACUGCUGCUACUACUACCUCAACCUCCUGUUGCUUUCUUUCUUUCUCACUCUCUUUGAAAUUUCUGUAAGAUUGAGACGCAUAUGAUUUGUAUUAUUCAGAUUUGAUAAGUGUUAGUAAUCUACUGUUGUUCAGUUCAGACUUCCUGUGUGUGUUAAUUAGUUAAAAUUGUCACUUCUGUACUGCUUGUUGCAGAUUCUUGAUCAUUUUUGUUAUCUAUGUGUUAGCUCAUGCAUCUGAGAAUUAUAAAGACUGUGUGGUUGAUGUGAAACAAUUAUAUAUAUGUCUCCUGUUUGUUAGUUAGUGGUUUGUAUAAAUUCGGAUUACUACUUGUGAUUUAAUUUUGUAUUGAAAUUGUUCUCUGUGGUAGUCAGUUGUGUGAUCAUUCAAUUUUCAGUCUAUGUAUUAGCUCUGUAC